rnacentral:rRNA from 1 species
GACGAACGCUGGCGGCGUGCCUAAUACAUGCAAGUAGAACGCUGAAGGAGGAGCUUGCUUCUCCGGAUGAGUUGCGAACGGGUGAGUAACGCGUAGGUAACCUGCCUGGUAGCGGGGGAUAACUAUUGGAAACGAUAGCUAAUACCGCAUAAGAGUAGAUGUUGCAUGACAUUUGCUUAAAAGGUGCAAUUGCAUCACUACCAGAUGGACCUGCGUUGUAUUAGCCAGUUGGUGGGGUAACGGCUCACCAAGGCGACGAUACAUAGCCGACCUGAGAGGGUGAUCGGCCACACUGGGACUGAGACACGGCCCAGACUCCUACGGGAGGCAGCAGUAGGGAAUCUUCGGCAAUGGACGGAAGUCUGACCGAGCAACGCCGCGUGAGUGAAGAAGGUUUUCGGAUCGUAAAGCUCUGUUGUAAGAGAAGAACGAGUGUGAGAGUGGAAAGUUCACGC